CUGGCUGCUGCCGCCACCCCCACCCUUGCCUCCGGUGCACAUUAAAGAUCCAAAACCAUGACUGACUCCAAGUACUUCACAACCAAUAAAAAAGGAGAAAUCUUUGAAUUAAAGGCUGAACUCAACAAUGAAAAGAAAGAAAAGACGAAGGAGGCUGUGAAGAAAGUGAUUGCUGCCAUGACUGUGGGGAAGGACGUUAGUUCUCUCUUUCCAGAUGUAGUGAACUGUAUGCAAACUGACAACCUGGAAUUAAAGAAGCUUGUUUAUCUCUAUUUGAUGAACUACGCCAAGAGUCAGCCAGACAUGGCCAUCAUGGCUGUCAACAGCUUUGUGAAGGACUGUGAAGAUCCCAAUCCUCUAAUUCGGGCCUUAGCAGUCAGGACCAUGGGGUGCAUCCGGGUGGACAAGAUUACAGAAUAUCUCUGUGAGCCUCUCCGCAAGUGCUUGAAGGAUGAAGAUCCCUAUGUUCGGAAAACAGCAGCAGUCUGUGUGGCAAAACUCCAUGAUAUCAAUGCCCAAAUGGUAGAAGAUCAGGGAUUUCUGGAUUCUCUGCGGGAUCUCAUAGCAGAUUCAAAUCCAAUGGUGGUGGCUAAUGCUGUAGCAGCAUUAUCUGAAAUCAGUGAAUCUCACCCAAACAGCAACCUACUUGAUCUGAACCCACAGAACAUUAAUAAGCUGCUGACAGCCCUGAAUGAAUGCACUGAAUGGGGCCAGAUUUUCAUCUUGGACUGCCUGUCUAAUUACAACCCUAAAGAUGACCGGGAGGCUCAGAGCAUCUGUGAGCGUGUGACUCCCCGGCUAUCUCAUGCCAACUCAGCGGUGGUGCUUUCAGCGGUAAAAGUCCUAAUGAAGUUUCUGGAGUUGUUACCCAAGGACUCCGACUACUACAAUAUGCUGCUGAAGAAGUUGGCCCCUCCACUUGUCACUUUGCUGUCUGGGGAGCCAGAGGUGUAGUACGUUGCCCUGAGGAAUAUCAAUCUAAUUGUCCAGAAAAGGCCUGAAAUCUUGAAGCAGGAAAUCAAAGUCUUCUUUGUGAAGUACAAUGAUCCCAUCUAUGUUAAACUAGAGAAACUGGACAUCAUGAUUCGUUUAGCAUCCCAAGCUAACAUUGCUCAGGUUCUGGUGGAAUUAAAGGAAUAUGCCACAGAGGUGGAUGUUGACUUUGUUCGCAAGGCUGUGCGGGCCCUCGGACGGUGUGCCAUCAAAGUGGAGCAAUCUGCUGAGCGCUGUGUAAGCACAUUGCUUGAUCUCAUCCACACCAAAGUAAAUUAUGUGGUCCAAGAGGCAAUUGUCGUCAUCAGGGACAUCUUUUGCAAAUAUCCCAACAAGUAUGAAAGUAUCAUUGCCACUCUGUGUGAGAACUUAGACUCACUGGAUGAACCAGACGCUCGAGCAGCUAUGAUUUGGAUUGUGGGAGAAUAUGCUGAGAGAAUUGACAAUGCAGAUGAGUUACUAGAGAGCUUCCUGGAGGGUUUUCAUGAUGAAAGCACCCAGGUGCAGCUCACUUUGCUUACUGCCAUCGUGAAGCUGUUUCUUAAGAAACCAUCAGAAACACAGGAGCUGGUACAGCAAGUCUUGAGUUUGGCAACACAGGAUUCUGAUAAUCCUGACCUUCGAGACCUAGGCUAUAUUUAUUGGCGCCUUCUCUCAACGGACCCUGUCACAGCCAAAGAAGUAGUCUUGUCUGAGAAGCCACUGAUCUCUGAGGAGACAGAUCUUAUUGAGCCAACUCUGCUGGAUGAGCUAAUCUGCCACAUUGGAUCUUUGGCUUCUUCCUCCCAAUGCUUUUGUGGAAGGAAGUCAUGGAAUCCAUUGCAAACACUUGCCAAUACAUCAUGGAAGCACUGAUGCAGGUGACAGCCCUGUUGGCACCACCACAGCCACGACCCUGGAACAGCCUCAGGUUAUCCCCUCCCAAGGUGACCUUCUAGGAGACCUCUUAAACCUUGACCUCGGUCCCCCAGUCAAUGUGCCACAGGUGUCCUCCAUGCAGAUGGGAGCAGUGGAUCUCUUGGGAGGAGGACUAGAUAGUCUGCUUGGCAGUGACCUUGGCGGGGGCAUUGGAGGAAGUCCGGCAGUGGGACAAUCCUUCAUCCCCUCAUCAGUGCCUGCAACCUUUGCUCCUUCACCUACUCCUGCUGUGGUCAGCAGUGGUCUGAAUGACCUGUUUGAACUCUCCACUGGAAUAGGCAUGGCACCUGGUGGAUAUGUGGCUCCUAAGGCUGUCUGGCUGCCUGCAGGGCACAUCUAUAUGGAAAUGAACUUCACCAACAAAGCUCCACAGCACAUGACAGACUUUGCAAUCCAGUUUAACAAGAAUAGCUUUGGUGUCAGCCCCAGCACUCCUCUGGCCAUCCAUACACCGCUCAUGCCAAACCAGAGCAUUGAUGUCUCCCUGCCUCUCAACACCUUGGGCCCAGUCAUGAAGAUGGAACCUCUGAAUAACCUGCAGGUGGCUGUGAAAAACAAUAUUGAUGUCUUUUACUUCAGCUGCCUCAUCCCACUCAAUGUGCUUUUUGUAGAAGAUGGCCAAAUGGAGCGCCAGGUCUUCCUUGCCACAUGGAAGGAUAUUCCCAAUGAAAAUGAACUUCAGUUUCAGAUUAAGGAAUGUCAUUUAAAUGAUGACACUGUUUCCAGCAAAUUGCAAAACAACAGUGUUUAUACUAUUGCCAAGAGGAAUGUGGAAGGGCAGGACAUGCUGUACCAAUCCCUGAAGCUCACGAAUGGUAUUUGGAUUUUGGCUGAGCUACGUAUCCAGCCAGGAAACCCAAAUUAUACGCUGUCGCUGAAAUGUAGAGCUCCCAAAGUCUCUCAGUACAUCUAUCAGGUCUACGACAGCAUUUUGAAAAACUAAUAGACUGGCCCGGGGCCCUCCGGCCACCCUGUGAUUGGUGCAAGCCAAGAACUCUUAACUGGAAGAAAUCGUAUUGCCGUGUAGAAUCUGAACCCAAACACACCGAGGCCGCCCACCAAGGUAGUGACUAGUCUAACCUGUGCUAACAUUAGGGCACAACCUGUUGGAUAAUUUUAGCUUCCUGUGAAAAUUUGUAACCACUGCUUCGAUCACACCCCACCUCUUGCCACCUGCCUCUGCGAUCUGUCCUUACUUGUGAGCUUCUCCAUAGUGUAGUUUGAUAUUUUGUAAUUGAGAGCUCAUUUCAAAAGCAGAAAAAGACAAAAAAUAUUAAAGCAAGGAAAAGUGUCA